UACGAAGGGGGCUAGCGUUGUUCGGAAUCACUGGGCGUAAAGGGCGCGUCGGCGGGAUGGCAAGUCGGUCGUGAAAUCCCUCGGCUCAACCGAGGAACGUCGAUCGAUACUGCUGUUCUUGAGGAUUGCAGAGGAGACUGGAAUUCCCGGUGUAGCGGUGAAAUGUGUAGAGAUCGGGAGGAACACCGGUGGCGAAGGCGGGUCUCUGGGCAAUUCCUGACGCUGAGGCGCGAAAGCGUGGGGAGCAAACGGG
rnacentral:rRNA from 1 species